CCUUCGAUAGCUCAGCUGGUAGAGUGGAGGACUGUAAAUCCUCAAGUCACUGGUUCGAUUCCGGCUCGAAGGA
rnacentral:tRNA from 1 species